GUGUAAAUAAGAAGGGUACGCAACAGAUGUCGCGUUUAAGAUAUUUUCCUUUCAGUCAAGCGCACUUCUCUCUCGACCAAGCUUCCACGAAACAUCGGUACUUUAAGCAUGCGUACCGCUCAUCUUAUGAUCGUAAUGGCCGUUGCUACACUUGCACCAGCAUGGUCGUACAGCCUUCACCACAGGUAUUUGAAACGGACUGAACUGCGAUGCUACCCGAUUUUAUUCAACUGGUACAAGAUUUGCAAGAUUUUGCAAACAAAGAACCAUUGGCAUAUUGAACACCACUAUGGGGACGACGGCAACGUUGAAGAGGGUUACGGAGAAGAGAGUGAGGAGGCGGGUGAUGACGAAGAUGAAAAUGAAAAAGAGACAACUACUGCCAACCAUGCGUCUUCGAUUACUUCCUCUGGGUCAUCACAGGACGACUCGCAGUCGGCAAACGCUGCUACACAACAGUACUCAACCGAAGUCAGGAGCACAGAAAACAGCCCGACUAAAACGCAAGAAAUGCUAACAUCAGCUUCAGCGUCUACGAAAGAUGGCUCUACAGCUGAGACUGCGACGUCAGCCGCUACGUAUGUACAAUCUACAGGAUUAUCAGUGUCGACAACUAAAAGCUCAGCAGUGACUGUGUAAUUAAUAAGCGAUGGCGGUGAAUGCUGUAUUGAAAUAAAGUUGGGCCGCAAUUGCAACGAUAUGGGGACACACGGAAGCGCUAAAGCAAUCGCCCAUGUGAAUGAAUGCUACUCUAUUUUCUCUUUUCCUUUAUUUUUACUUGUAUCAUGCACUGAGGAAGCCAGCAGGUAGCGACCUGCUGGUACGUGGAAAUGUCUUUUUUUGCAUGCCACAUGCUGGUUGUGGUGAAUAAAUAUGGUUUAUUCUGCUUCUGA